rnacentral:miRNA from 1 species
CGCUUGGUGCAGGUCGGGA